rnacentral:lncRNA from 10 species
GUCUCUGCGGAAGAUGCUCUUUGUGGAGUGAAUCGUUAACUGGGGAGGAGGCCACCUAGAUUCAGUUAUAGAACAUCGUGGAUUAGAUUGUCAUACAUCAAGGAGCCGAGGACCAUUCCCUGGGUAGCGAAGCUACUGUCAUUUUAGGAGUGCCUGUUACCUCGGCUGAACAUAACCUGUUCUAGUGAGUGCACCUGUUUUAAGCCUAGCAAGAGGAUGACUCAAUGUGCUAUGAAGAAACGGCAUACACAGAUUACAGUCCAUUUAGAAAAAAAAAAAAAACAAAGGAGGAACUUAUUAAAGUUGGUAACUAGGUUUCCUGAAGAUUGGGUCUCUGCAAUUGGAUCUGCUCUUCUCUCCAUAGGACUUCACUGGACCUCCAGAAUCUUCUUCAUGGAUAUUCAUUGCGUAAGAUAAAGACUCAGUGCAUUAGCACUGAGAUUCUAAUUCUGCAUUAGAACUGAGAGUUAAUGUAAAGUGGUGUUAAAAUGAGUGUUAUAUGUACACAUAUUUAUUUUUUGAUUGUUGGUUAAUGUUUGCUCCCUAAACUAGACUCUAAAAUCCAUCAUAGCAAAGACUGAAUCAGUUUAUCACUGUGUCCCUAAAUAACUAUGAAUGAAUGAGUGAAUAUAUGUAGAUAUGUAUCACUGAGCAUUCCUUGAGUGUUUCAGUGGGUGUGGAGCAGCUGUCUCUGUCAAAAGGCACAGGAUGUGGUGGGGUGUGGGGUGAGAAGGUUUGUGGUGUGAUCCACGAUCCACAGCCAGCAGAUUUCCUGACUCAGAGCUCAGAAGAGAGAAACCUGCACACUUGAAAUGUAACAGGAGAAAUGCUUAUAAGUACACUACUGUGAAGUCAAAUACAAUAGCAUAUUUCAGUGACAUGAAAAAUAAUAAAUAUGCAUUAUAUAGAUUCUCCUUGAUUUACGAUGGAGCUACGUCCUGAUAAGCCCAUCACAGGUUGAAGAUAUCAUUAAGUAGAAAAUACAUGUAAUACACCUAACCUACCAAGCAUCAUAGCUUAGCUCAGCCUCCCUUAAACAUCCUCAGAACACUUACCUUAGCCUACAGUUGGGCAAAUUAUCUGGCAACACGGCACACUCUAGGGUGUGGGUUGCUUACCCUCGUGAUCACAGGGCUGGCUGGGAGCUGCAGCUCGCUGUCACUGCCCAGCAUCCCAAGAGUAUUGUACUGUUUAUCAACAUCCUGGGGAAAGAUGAAAACUCAAAAUUUGAAGUUUGAUUUCUACUGAAUGCAUUUUGCUUUCGUACCAUUGUAAAGUAGACAAAUCAUAAGUCAAGCCAUCAUAAGUUGAGGACCAUCUAAAAAACAACGCAGCUGCCUGUCUUGUUUCAGCUUUGGUCCAUGUAGAAUACAUGUACAUUUGUCUUCAUUUAUAAAGAUGCCAAUGCUAAUUUAGCCAGUUGUCCCAAUGCACAGCAUAAGAGGUAGUUACUUUUUUUUUUUUUUUUUUUUUUUGAGAUAGAGGCUUGCUCUGUUGCCCAGGCUGGAGUACAGUGGUGCAAUCAUGGCUCACUGCAAACUGCCUCCCAGGUUCAAGCGAUUCUUGUGCCUUAGCCUCCCGAGUAGCUGGGACUAUAGGCAUGCGCCACUAUGCCUGGCUAAUUCUUGUAUUUUUAGCUGAGACAAAGUUUCUCUAUGUUGGCCAGGCUGAGGUGAUUACUUUUAAAACAUUGUAAAUGGCUUCUAAAGCAAUUGUUGAUAGUUAUUCAUCAUGCAGUACUCAUACACAUUUAUAUAUAAAUAUAAAUAAUUGCUUUUCAGUCCAACAUUGCUAUUAGUUUUUAUUCAAUUUCAAAUUCUGGUUUUGUGACUCGUUUGUAGCAUCAGCUAUCUUAGCGUCAUGGGUGGGCUGACUGGCCCUUUAACAUCAUCUGCAGCUUUUUUCAAGCCAUACUGGGUGCAAAAUUGACAGGUAAGUAAUUGAGAAAUAUGGAUUAUACUGCAAAUAAUUUUAAUUUUAAAUUUCUCGAUGGUGGAAUUUGGAUAAGUGUUUGUGUAAUUCUUACUGUAUCUUUAGAGAUAGAAAAGAUAUAUGUGGAUUGAUUUCUUCCUUCAUGGGAAAACAGUUAAGAAGACAAGGCUAACAGAGGUAGAAUGCUUUUCUAUCAUUUUGUAUAAUUCAAUAUCAUACACCAUAUUAUGUGAUAAAGAACUGUAGAUGCUAUAGAAAUAUACAGAAAAAAGAGAUGAUUCAGCUGAAUUAAUCAGAGAAGGCUCACAUGGGCCUCAGAGCUUGAGUUGGAUAUGGUACCCCGAAGAUAAAGGGGAGGGAAACCAGACAGGUGAGCCUGUGCACAUGAAAUGUGGGAAGGAGUACACACAGCACAUGUCCAUUAAGAUUAGAGGCUGUGUGGCUGUGAGUCCUCAGAAAUACGGUAGGGUGGGGAGGAUGGGUACAAAUACCAAGAGACUAGAAAACGACUGUUGUAUAGCUUUGAAAAGACUCCAUACACUUCCAUAGUUUGCUAUGUGAGUGACAUGUGUUUUGCUGUGCUAAGAACUUGCCCUGCCCCUUGGGAAUGUGAUGGUUCCACUUUAUCAGACUCCAUAUGUGAGUUACUGAUCUCAACCACUGGACUCCAUCAUACAUAUAAACCUAAGAGUUUGACAGAGACUUUGGGAGCUUAGGUUGUGGCAGGGUGCACUCCGUCAGCCGCCUCUUUAAAAUCUGAGAGCUCAGGCUACGGCAGGGCCACACCCUAUUGGCUUUGGAGCUGAUCUCUGGAGCCUCACCAGCCUACACUAGCACCUCUCAAGCACUAAGCAUUCUUGCAUGUCAUUAUAGAUCUUCACUGUGUUGUUCACUGUGUUGAUUGAGCCUUCUCUUCCAAGAACCUCUUGUAUAAAGCUACACCUCAAACUUUAAUUAGACUUACAUUCCACCGAGGCUUGCAUCUAUCGUCAUUGAGCAACCAGACUUUAAUAAUUGGACUCUAACAAAAUUGAAGCUACGUGGUUACUGUACCACAUUAAUAGUACACAAUAAUGUACACUGCACACUAUAUAUACAGUACAGUAUGCAACGUAUAC